rnacentral:rRNA from 1 species
AUUGAACGCUGGCGGCACGCUUAACACAUGCAAGUCGAGCGGUAGCAUGUUUAGUAGCAAUACUAGAUGAUGACGAGCGGCGGACGGGUGAGUAACACGUAGGAACUUGCCCAAUAGAGGGGGACAACCAAGGGAAACUUUGGCUAAUACCGCAUAUACUCGGAAGAGGAAAGCUGCCUGCAAGGGUGGCGCUAUUGGAUAGGCCUGCGGCUGAUUAGCUAGUUGGUGAGGUAAUGGCUCACCAAGGCUGGGAUCAGUAACUGGUCUGAGAGGACGACCAGUCACACUGGGACUGAGACACGGCCCAGACUCCUACGGGAGGCAGCAGUGGGGAAUCUUGGACAAUGGGGGCAACCCUGAUCCAGCGAUGCCGCGUGAGUGAAGAAGGCCUUCGGGUCGUAAAGCUCUUUAGGUUGGGAGGAAGGUUGGUAGUUUAAGAGAUAACUAACUUGACUGUACUAACAGAAUAAGCACCGGCAAACUCUGUGCCAGCAGCCGCAGUAA